CUUUCCCCUCGAGCGGUCGCCAUGAGGUGAUGGUGGUGGGUGAGGGAAAAACCCUCGGCUACGCUUCCCCCCGCCUCGCCUCAGGACGGAGGGGGGGGCUCCGGGCAGCACCCCCGGUCCCCUCACAGCUUGAUUCUCCUCCGUCUUGUCCUCCCCGCCUCGUCACAGCCUCCCGACUGCAUCCACACAGGAAAUUGAAUUACUCUCAACAAUGCUGAGUGACAGAAGAUCUGGUCUGUGACUUCCUAGAAAACCGUUAUGAUGAUCUUAUUGAGGGGUCAACUCUUUCUUUUCCUUAAUUGAUGGUCUUUGGUAGAUACCAGCAGCAAGAAGAUGAACUCUCAGUACAUUUCCCUACCCAUUUAUACCAGGAAGGAAGAUGACAAAAGUCAAGGCCAUGCUUUAGUAAUACUAGCCACGCUUCAGGAACUACACUGAGCACUGCUUUCUAGCUGAAGUGAUCAAUCUUCAUGAUCCGUUCCGUGGCGAGCUGGGAAAAAAAAAUGCAGUUGCUAAUCAAUGUCUGAACAGUCUGAAGCUCCGGAAGAGAUCCAAGGAGUCACUAUCAAACUAUCCUGUAGCAUGAGA